AUUGAACGCUGGCGGCAGGCCUAACACAUGCAAGUCGAGCGGCAGCGGGAAAGUAGCUUGCUACUUUUGCCGGCGAGCGGCGGACGGGUGAGUAAUGCCUGGGAAAUUGCUCAGUCGAGGGGGAUAAAAGUUGGAAACGACUGCUAAUACCGCAUACGCCCUACGGGGGAAAGAAGGGGACCUUCGGGCCUUGCGCGAUUGGAUUUGCCCAGGUUGGAUUAGCUAGUUGGUGAGGUAAUGGCUCACCAAGGCGACGAUCGCUAACUGGUCUGAGAGGAUUAUCAGGCACACUGGAACUGAGACACGGUCCAGACUCCUACGGGAGGCAGCAGUGGGGAAUAUUGCACAAUGGGGGAAACCCUGAUGCAGCCAUGCCGCGUGUGUGAAGAAGGCCUUCGGGUUGUAAAGCACUUUCAGCGAGGAGGAAAGGUUGAUGCCUAAUACGCAUCAACUGUGACGUUACUCGCAGAAGAAGCACCGGCUAACUCCGUGCCAGCCGCCGCCGUAAGAC
rnacentral:rRNA from 1 species